rnacentral:rRNA from 1 species
UUAUGGCUCAGGAUGAACGCUGGCGGCGUGCUUAACACAUGCAAGUCGAACGGAGUAUAUUUAAAAGCUUGCUUUGCAUAUACCUAGUGGCGGACGGGUGAGUAACGCGUGGGCAACCUGCCUUAUACCGGGGGACAACAGCUGGAAACGGCUGCUAAUACCGCAUAAGCGCACGAAGAGGCAUCUCUUAGUGUGAAAAACUCCGGUGGUAUAAGAUGGACCCGCGUCUGAUUAGCCAGUUGGCGGUGUAACGGACCACCAAAGCGACGAUCAGUAGCCGGCCUGAGAGGGCAAACGGCCACAUUGGGACUGAGACACGGCCCAAACUCCUACGGGAGGCAGCAGUGGGGAAUAUUGCACAAUGGGGGAAACCCUGAUGCCAGCGACGCCGCGUGAGUGAAGAAGUAUUUCGGUAUGUAAAGCUCUAUCAGCAGGAAAGAAAAUGACGGUACCUGACUAAGAAGCCCCGGCUAACUACGUGCCAGCCGCCGC